GACGAACGCUGGCGGCGUGCUUAACACAUGCAAGUCGAACGGAAAGGCCUCUUUCGGGGGGUACUCGAGUGGCGAACGGGUGAGUAACACGUGAGUAACCUGCCCUUGACUUUGGGAUAACUUCAGGAAACUGGGGCUAAUACCGGAUAGGAGCUCCUGCUGCAUGGUGGGGGUUGGAAAGUUUCGGCGGUUGGGGAUGGACUCGCGGCUUAUCAGCUUGUUGGUGGGGUAGUGGCUUACCAAGGCUUUGACGGGUAGCCGGCCUGAGAGGGUGACCGGCCACAUUGGGACUGAGAUACGGCCCAGACGCCUACGGGAGGCAGCAGUGGGGAAUAUUGCACAAUGGGUGGAAGCCUGAUGCAGCAACGCCGUGUGCGGGAUGACGGCCUUCGGGUUGUAAACCGCUUUCGCUCAUGACGAAGCUUUGUGUGACGGUAGUGGGUAAAGAAGCACCGGCUAACUACGUG
rnacentral:rRNA from 1 species